rnacentral:rRNA from 1 species
UACGUAGGGACCAAGCGUUGUUCGGAUUUACUGGGCGUAAAGGGCGCGUAGGCGGCGUGACAAGUCACUUGUGAAAUCUCCGGGCUUAACUCGGAACGGUCAAGUGAUACUGUUGUGCUAGAGUACAAAAGGGGCAAUCGGAAUUCUUGGUGUAGCGGUGAAAUGCGUAGAUAUCAAGAGGAACACCUGAGGCGAAGGCGGAUUGCUGGGCUGAUACUGACGCUGAGGCGCGAAAGCCAGGGGAGCAAACGGG